GAUGAAGAACGUAGCGAAAUGCGAUACUUGGUGUGAAUUGCAGAAUCCCGUGAACCAUCGAGUAUUUGAACGCAAGUUGCGCCUCAAGCCAUUAGGUUGAGGGCACGUCUGCCUGGGCGUCACAUAUCGUUGCCUGAUGCCAGUUUCCUCGUGAUGGGUGACUGUGCAGGGCGAAUGAUGGCUUCCCGUGAGCAUUGUUGCCUCAUGGUUGGUUGAAAAUUGAGUCCUUGGUAGGGAGCGCCGUGAUAGAUGGUGGUUGAGUGACGAACGAGACCCAAUCAUGUGAGACCCCUACCGAAUUUGGCCUUCAUGACCCACAUGCGUCUUUGGAACGCUCAUGACGAGACCUCAGGUCAGGCGGGGCUACCCGCUGAGUUUAAGCAUAUCAAUAAGCGGAGGA
rnacentral:misc_RNA from 1 species